ensembl:lncRNA LINC01524 long intergenic non-protein coding RNA 1524
AGUGCUGGCGCAAGUCGUCUUGCGCCAGGCGACUGGGUCUGAGGAGGCAGGAGUUAUUCAUUCCCUUAAGCUUUCAGGCCGGGGGGAGAAUCUUUCAGAAUACUUCUGUUGGGUUGAAUGACUCUCUGCCCCCAGUCUGACUGGUUGGAAGAGGCCCUUUUCCCAGCCUUUGUGAAAGAGAUCUUCAUGUAAACAGAGUCCCUCUUAUUGGCUGAAGUGAAGAGUCAUUCUGAGGAGGAUCUGAAAAUGUAGAGGUGAGACGCUAAUGGCAGAGUGGCCUCAGCUUUCACCAGGUUUUGAAAACAUCUGUGAGGGAGGCACCAAAUUCACUGUCCUGCAGCUUUGACUUCCCAAUCCUCGUUGCCUCGUGCUGCCAGCCUGUAUGCUGGUAGAAGUGUGUUCCUGGGAACAUCCUGGCAUCUUGUGUUAGGACUACACUGGUGCAUGGGACAGAUCACGCUCAAGAAGGUCGAUGUAAUUUGAAAAACAGAUGGGCUCUGCUUUGUGAAAACUCCAAGCAUAUGAAGUCUAACUUGAAUAAAAGGCAUCUCAAGAUGAAGGUUUCCUAUUUGUGAUUAUGAAAAAAAUGUCAAGAACAAGUCCCUUGGUGUUCUUAGACCAAAGUCAGAACAACAGACCUAAUUCUUUGGUAAUUUUCCUGUGGCAUAUCUUCAAGGAACUCAAAGAGACUCUGUGGAUGGUAUUUGUCUGGGGCUGGCUGUGCACCCAGAAGGCCAUUCGUUCCAUGAAGAACAUGACAGAGGUACCUGGUCCUACCUGGAUUCUUGGGCAUGCGGGCAGCAGCAGCAGCAGCAGCCACAGUGAACUUCAUCCUAAGGAAAUUAAGCACACGUUGCGUGAGGCUGCUGUGGGGGUGCCAGGUGCUGAGGUUUCUGUAGUGGAUAAAACACAAAAAUACCAGCCCUCAUGGUGAAAAUGGAAUGACAAUAAACAAGAUAAAUUAGAUCUAUGGUAAGAUAAAUUAGAUCUAUGGUAUUGAGGAGGGAGGUGGGACUUGACUCUGGAGGCUGGGCUCCGAUGACACCAGACCAAAUUGAAGACUAGCUAAAACAGGGACCUGACGGAAGCAGCUUUCCAUAAGACACCUCACCCGUCUGCCAUGUCAGGUUUACCACUGCCAUGGCAACACCCGGAGUUACCACCCCUUUCCAUGGCAACGACCCAAGGAUCCCAAAGUUACCACCCUUCCUCUGGAAAUUUCUGCAUCAACUGGCCCUUAAUCUCCAAGUCAUUAAAAGUAAGUGUAAAUAUGGCUGCAAAACUGCCCUGAGCUGCUACUCUCAGCACACUGCCCAUGGGGUAGCCCAACUCUGUAGGAGCAGUCACAGAGAUGUAAUACUGCCUGAGCUAUAACACUGCCACUUCAAUAAAGCUGUUUUCUUCUACCC